UGAUCUGGGACACCUUGGCUGUGUUCCAUCAUAUAACACCAUAAGCAAAUAUAUUUGCUAUGCCCUUUUCUUGAUAGACUGACUUUUAUUAUGGUGGUUGUGGUGGUUUCAAUAUGAUUGAUUCAGGGAGUGGCGCUAUUAGGAGCUUUGGCCUUGUUGGAGUAGGUGUGGCUGUGUUGGAGGAAGAGUGUCUCUCUGGGGGUGGGCUUUGAGACCUUAGCUGCCUGUCUUUGAAGACUUCGAGACAGUCUUCUCCUGACUGCUUUCAGAUCAAGAUGUAAAACUCUGGGCUCCUUCUCCAGCACUGUCUGCCUGGAUGCUGCCCACCUUGAUGAUAAUGGACUGAAUCUCUGAACCUGAGAAGUGGAUCCUGCUUUGCCCUUAAGCCACAAGACCCAGAGAACCCGCCACAGCCUUUCUGCUCCUGCUUAAUUCCUGAAGACCCACAGCUGGGAGAAGUUCACUGUGCUAGGUAACCCUGUAGUGUCAACUUCCUAGGGUGUCUAUUUGGUGGUCCUGCUGCCGGAGCUGGGAUGCUGCAGUAGGCCUGGUAGGGCUGAAAGGAGCUCACUGUCUAAGUGCCUCAGAGGUGACAUACAGCCCAUAAUUCCAUACACAGAUUGUAGCAAAGCAGGGAGAUAUGGAAUGAAGCAAGAUUCAGUUGAAACACAUCUAGAUGAUAUAGUGAUAGUUACCACUGCUGUUGAUCCUGUUGAGGUGGGGCGGGGGGGCUUGGUGCUUUAAAAGCCUAUGCCAAGCCCAGAGUCUGUCUGUCUGUCUGUCUGUUUGUCUGUCUCCCUGACUUCCGACCAGGAUGUAGCUCUCAGUUACUGCUAUAGCACCAUCUGUGCCUCCAUGCUUCCUGCUGUGAUGAUAAUAGACUAAACCUCUGAAACUGUCAGCCAGCCCCUAUUAAAUGCUUUCUUUUAUAA